rnacentral:rRNA from 1 species
UACGUAGGUGUCGAGCGUUAUUCGGAUUUACUGGGCGUAAAGCGCACCGAGGUGGCUUCUUAAGUUGGAUGUGAAAUCUCCUGGCUCAACUGGGAGACGCCAUUCAAAACUGGGGAGCUUGAGGUCAGCAGGGGAAAGUGGAAUUCCCGGUGUAGUGGUGGAAUGCGUAGAGAUCGGGAGGAACACCAGUGGCGAAAGCGACUUUCUGGGCUGCACCUGACACUCUAGUGCGAAAGCGUGGGGAGCAAACAGG